rnacentral:rRNA from 1 species
GCGCACGCUGGCGGCAGGCCUCACCCCUGCCAGUCGAACGAACUCUUCGGAGUUAGUGGCGGACGGGUGAGUAACACGUGGGAACGUGCCUUUAGGUUCGGAAUAACUCAGGGAAACUUGUGCUAAUACCGAAUGUGCCCUUCGGGGGAAAGAUUUAUCGCCUUUAGAGCGGCCCGCGUCUGAUUAGCUAGUUGGUGAGGUAAAGGCUCACCAAGGCGACGAUCAGUAGCUGGUCUGAGAGGAUGAUCAGCCACAUUGGGACUGAGACACGGCCCAAACUCCUACGGGAGGCAGCAGUGGGGAAUCUUGCGCAAUGGGCGAAAGCCUGACGCAGCCAUGCCGCGUGAAUGAUGAAGGUCUUAGGAUUGUAAAAUUCUUUCACCGGGGACGAUAAUGACGGUACCCGGAGAAGAAGCCCCGGCUAACUUCGUG